AAGUGAUAUAUAACUGUGAGAGUAAUGUGAU
rnacentral:guide_RNA from 1 species